rnacentral:rRNA from 1 species
CGCGUAGGCGGCUCAUAAAGGGUGUGGUGAAAGUCCGGGGCUCAACCCCGGAUCUGCCGUGCCGACUGUUAGGCUAGAGUACUGUAGGGGCAGGCGGAAUUCCGGGUGUAGCGGUGGAAUGCGUAGAGAUCCGGAGGAAGACCGGUGGCGAAGGCGGCCUGCUGGGCAGUUACUGACACUGAGGCGCGACAGCGUGGGGAGCAAACA